UACGUAUGGUGCUAACGUUGUUCGGAAUCACUGGGCUUAAAGCGCACGUAGGCGGUUGAGUAAGUCUUAUGUGAAAUCCCUCGGCUUAACUGAGGAAUUGCAUCAGAAACUGCUCGGCUGGAGUGUAGGAGGGGAGAGUGGAAUUCCUGGUGGAGCGGUGAAAUGCGUAGAUAUCAGGAGGAACGCCGGUGGCGAAAGCGACUCUCUGGUCUACUACUGACGCUGAGGUGCGAAAGCUAGGGGAGCAAACGGG
rnacentral:rRNA from 1 species